UUAAAUGGCCGCAGUAAUUUGACUGUGCAAAGGUAGCAUAAUCAUUAGUUUUUUAAUUAAAAGCUUGUAUGAAAGGUUGAACGAAGUAAAAACUGUCUUAAUUUAAUUAAUUUUAGAAUUUAAUUUUUAAGUUAAAAAGCUUAAAUUUUAAUAAAAGACGAUAAGACCCUAUAGAGUUUUAUAUAAUUUUUAAUAAAAUUAAUUAAGAUUUUUUUAUAUUUUAUUAAAGAUUAUAUUUUAUUGGGGUAAUAAAAAGAUUAAUUUAAUUCUUUUUUGUAUAAACAUUAAUUUAUGAAUAAAAGGAUCCAAUUUUAUUGAUUAAAAGAUUAAAUUACCUUAGGGAUAACAGCGUAAUUUUUUUAUAGAGUUCUUAUCGAUAAAAAAGUUUGCGACCUCGAUGUUGGAUUAAAGAUUAAUUUAGGUGUAGAAGUUUAAAAUAUUUAGUCUGUUCGACUAUUAAAUCUUUACAUGAUCUGAGUUCAGACCGGUUUAAGCCAGGUCGGUUUCUAUCUUUAUUAAAUUAAUAUAUUUCAGUACGAAAGGACCAAAUAUUUAAUAUUUUAUUAUUUAUUUUUAUGAUUAUUAUUAUUAUUUUGGCAGAUUAGUGCAUUGAAUUUAGAAUUCAUUUAUAUAAUUUUUAUUAUAAAUAAUACUUGUAUUAUAUAGAUUUNUUAUUUAUAUUUAUUAGAAUUUUAAUAUUAGUAAUUUGUGUAUUAGUUGGUGUUGCUU
rnacentral:rRNA from 1 species